GAAAUAUAUAAAGAUAAGCUUCUAACUUAAUUAAUAGCGUAUUUACGUUAAUAUUUCU
rnacentral:tRNA from 1 species